CGGCAUAGCUCAGUUGGUAGAGCAACUGAUUUGUAAUCAGUAGGUCCGCGGUUCGAGUCCGUGUGCCG
rnacentral:tRNA from 1 species